AUUGAACGCUGGCGGCAGGCCUAACACAUGCAAGUCGAACGAGUGGCGGACGGGUGAGUUAUGUAUGGGAAACUGACCGGUGGAGGGGGAUAACUACUGGAAACGGUAGCUACUACCGCCUACCAUCGGAUGUGCCCAGAUGGGAUUAGCUAGUAGGUGGGGUAAUGGCUCACCUAGGCGACGAUCCCUAGCUGGUCUGAGAGGAUGACCAUCCACACUGGAACUGAGACACGGUCCAGACUCCUACGGGAGGCAGCAGUGGGGAAUAUUGCACAAUGGGCGCAAGCCUGAUGCAGCCAUGCCGCGUGUAUGAAGAAGGCCUUCGGGUUGUAAAGUACUUUCAGCGAGGAGGCGUUACUGGCAGAAGAAGCACCGGCUAACUCCGUGCCAGCAGCCGCGGUAAUAC
rnacentral:rRNA from 1 species